rnacentral:rRNA from 1 species
GAUGGUGGGGUAACGGCUCACCAUGGCGAUGAUGUCUAGGGGUUCUGAGAGGAAGACCCCCCACACUGGGACUGAGACACGGCCCAGACUCCUACGGGAGGCAGCAGUGAGGAAUAUUGGACAAUGGAUGGAAAUCUGAUCCAGCCAUGCCGCGUGCAGGAAGACGGCCCUAUGGGUUGUAAACUGCUUUUAUAUGGGAGCAAUAAGGUUUACGCGUAGACCGAUGAGAGUACCAUAUGAAUAAGCAUCGGCUAACUCCGUGCCAGCAGCCGCGGUAAUACGGAGGAUGCGAGCGUUAUCCGGAUUUAUUGGGUUUAAAGGGUGCGUAGGCGGCCUUGUAAGUCAGCGGUGAAAUUUUGCAGCUUAACUGUAACAGUGCCGUUGAUACUGCGGGGCUAGGAUUUGGUUGCUGUGGGUGGAAUGUGUGGUGUAGCGGUGAAAUGCUUAGAUAUCACACAGAAUAUCGAUUGCGAAGGCAGCUCACAAAGCCAAGAUUGACGCUGAGGCACGAAAGUGUGGGGAUCAAACAGGAUUAGAUACCCUGGUAGUCCACACUGUAAACGAUGAUAACUCGCUGCCGGCGGUACACAGUCGGUAGCCAAGCGA